rnacentral:rRNA from 1 species
GAAUUCGCCCUUUUCCGGUUGAUCCUGCCGGACCUGACUGCUAUCGGAUUGAUACUAAGCCAUGCGAGUCAUUGUAGCAAUACAAGGCAGACGGCUCAGUAACGCGUAGUCAAUCUACCCUGAGGAGGGGGAUAACCCCGGAAAACUGGGGAUAAUACCCCAUAGGCCAGGGAUGCUGGAAUGCCUCCUGGUUGAAAGGUCCGCCGCCUCAGGAUGGGUCUGCGGCCGAUUAGGUUGUUGUUGGGGUAACGGCCCAACAAGCCAUUGAUCGGUACGGGUUGUGGGAGUAGGAGCCCGGAGAUGGAUUCUGAGACACGAUUCCCGGCCCUACGGGGCGCAGCAGGAGCGAAAACUUUACAAUGCAAGAAAUCGUGAUAAGGCAACUCCGAGUGCCCGUAAAUUCAGGCUGUCCAUCAGUGUAAAAAACUGGUGAAGAAAGGGCCGGGCAAGACCGGCGCCAGCCGCCGCGGUAAUACCGGCGGCUCGAGUGGUGGCCGCUAUUAUUGGGCUUAAAGCGUCCGUAGCUGGGUUGUUAAGUCUCCUGGGAAAUCCACCGGCUCAACCGGUGGGCGUUCGGGAGAAACUGGCAACCUAGGGACCGGGAGAGGUGAGAGGUACUCCAGGGGUAGGAGUGAAAUCCUGUAAUCCUUGGGGGACCACCUGUGGCGAAGGCGUCUCACUAGAACGGCUCCGACAGUGAGGGACGAAAGCUGGGGGAGCAAACCGGAUUAGAUACCCGGGUAGUCCCAGCUGUAAACGAUGCGCGUUAGGUGUAUCGGUGACCACGAGUCACCGAGGUGCCGAAGGGAAACCGUGAAACGUGCCGCCUGGGAAGUACGGUCGCAAGGCUGAAACUUAAAGGAAUUGGCGGGAAGGG